UACGUAGGUGGCAAGCGUUGUCCGGAAUUACUGGGCGUAAAGAGCGCGCAGGCGGUCGUGCAAGUCGCGUGUGAAAGCCCCCGGCUCAACUGGGGAGGGUCACGCGAUACUGCUCGACUCGAAGGCAGGAGAGGGAAGUGGAAUUCCCGGUGUAGUGGUGAAAUGCGUAGAUAUCGGGAGGAACACCAGUGGCGAAGGCGACUACCUGGCCUGUUCUUGACGCUGAGGCGCGAAAGCUAGGGGAGCAAACGGG
rnacentral:rRNA from 1 species